rnacentral:lncRNA from 1 species
UGGCCUGUCUCAGCCCAGCAACAAUACCUCACGAUAACACAGACUCUUGUUCCCGACAGGCACACGUCACGGCGCGCGGGGCCCUACACCUCACGUGCUCCCGGUGGUCCCGGCAGCCCCGCACCCGGGGCAGAGGGCGGUCUACGCGGGCCGGGCCACCCGGCUCCCACCGCAAGGCCACGCGGGAGCAACCCGCUUCCGCCUUCCGAGCGGCGCUUCCGGCCGUCGCGGCGCGGGUGCGUUUCCGGGCCGGUGGGUUCCGCGCGACCCCAGCCCAGGAGGAGGCCUGCUUCCCGCGCCUGUCCUCCCAUCAGGGGCUCGCCCAGCCCAGGUCCUCUCGGGUCGUGGCCGUGGGCCGGCCAUCAGAGAGCCCGGAGCGGGAAGGGCGCGUGGCGCGCCCCACCGACUCCGGGGCGAGGCCCUGUCAGAGCGCUGGGGUCAGAGGGCUCGGCGCAAACUUUCGGCCGCGGCGUCCCCUACGGGAAGCCCCCACGGUCCUGUGAGGCCCGUCGGCCCAGGAAGCCCGGCCUCCCGCGCCCCUCCCGUCACACGACGGGAGGCUGCCGUUUCACCGCCGUCUUACCCCAAACUCGCAAAACACUUGGUCCCAAAUGGAGCCCCCAACUCAGGAUCCGGAAUCCCGGGCGGGCCACGUGCGCCCCGCGCCGCUUGUGCGCGCCCCGCCCCGGGGAGGAGCCAGCCGGCUCCCAGCCCCUGGGCCAGAGCCGCCGCUGCCGGCCGGGUGUGAUCUGCGGUCCCGGCUUUCCCUCCUGCCUCCUCCUCCCUCCCCUCCCCGGCCUCUUCCCGCCGCCUCGCCCGGCCCGCCCGCCUUUCCAGUCGGGCCCGGUGGGGGCCGCAUGCUCGGCGGCUCAGGUCGUGGGACCGGUGAGUGACACCCCAGCCCAGGUCCGAAGCCCUUGGCGACCCCGAAGGGACAAGAGGCCGGUUUGCCGCCAGAGCGCUGAGGAAGAAGGGGGUGUCUCCCCCUCCCGUUUCCAAAGCGCCGUUUCUCUUCCCUUUUCCCUCUGA